GAUGAAGAACGUAGCGAAAUGUGAUAAGUAGUGUGAAUUGCAGAAUUCAGUGAAUCAUCGAAUCUUUGAACGCACAUUGCGCCCCUUGGUAUUCCAUGGGGCAUGCCUGUUCGAGCGUCAUUUGUACCUUCAAGCUUUGCUUGGUGUUGGGUGUUUGUCCCGAGGGACUCGCCUUAAAGUAAUUGGCAGCCAGUGUUUGGUUUUGAAGCGCAGCACAAGUCGCGAUUCAAGGCUACACGCCCGCUUCCACAAGCCUUUUUUCACUUUUGACCUCGGAUCAGGUUGGGAUACCCGCUGAACUUAAGCAUAUCAAUAAGCGGAGGA
rnacentral:misc_RNA from 1 species